rnacentral:rRNA from 1 species
UACGUAGGGGGCAAGCGUUGUCCGGAAUUAUUGGGCGUAAAGAGCGUGUAGGCGGCUCGAUAAGUCCGCUGUGAAAGUCCAGGGCUCAACCCUGGGAUGCCGGUGGAUACUGUCGGGCUCGAGUCCGGAAGAGGCGAGUGGAAUUCCUGGUGUAGCGGUGAAAUGCGCAGAUAUCAGGAGGAACACCAAUGGCGAAGGCAGCUCGCUGGGACGUGACUGACGCUGAGACGCGAAAGCGUGGGGAGCGAAUGGG